rnacentral:lncRNA from 1 species
GAUGCUCUGCUGUGCCUAUCUUAGUAUAACAAAACUUAUGCCCUCCCUUCAUUCUUGGGGAGAAGUACAGGCACAGGACCUCCUGGAGGACAUCUUCCAAGAGAGGAAAAGACCAGGUUCAUUCCAGUCCUGCACAAGACAAGCCCAUUCUGUAGCCAAAGCCCCAGCAUGCUGGCCCCCGGUCCCUUCCCAGUUCACCAUCUCAACAAUCAAGGCUGCCCUGCCUCACUCGCCCCUGCCCUGGGCUGGCCUCCAGAGCAGCGAAGCUGACCCAGGAAGCAACAGGCUGCCCGACAGUCGGAGACCGUGGAAAGAAGAGCGCGUGGAAGGAAGAGUGGCAAGAAAUUACGGAGAGAUCCUUUUAAACUGGACAGAGGAAAGAUGUUCUCGGAAUCAGAGAUGCCCAAAUAUAGAAAGUGAGCUUCUCAUUACUGCACACAGAUGUUGAAUCAUCAUUAGCCUGGGAGGUGAUGGAGAGGAUUACUACAUUUGAGUAAAAAUAAGGAAAUUAAGUAGAAAUAAUGAAAGUCAUUUUACGUUUAUAGUACUUGACAUUUAUUAAGUUGUUUUGAAGGGGCCCCUGGGUGGCUCAGUCAAAAGAGCGUGCAAUGCUUGAUCUUGGGGGCGUGAGUUUGAGCCCCAGGUUGGGUGUGGAGCCUACUAAAAAAAAAAUAAUAAAAUUUAAAAAAUAAAAUUAAAACA